rnacentral:lncRNA from 1 species
GGUCUGUGCUUCUCACUUAAUUUUACUUGAUUAUCGAAGUCAACUUACCAUUAAAUAAUUGAAUAGUGUAUUUAAGAUAACUGAGGAUAUGGUUUGAAUUUAAAUGCCCCAAAAAAUAUAUGUUGAAAGGGGUGAAUACUUUUAUCAUUUUGAAACCAGGUCGUGAUUCAGAGUAAUGAUGAUAUUGCCAGCAGAGCUAUAGAUCUCCUCAAAGAGAUAUACACAAACCUUGGUCCAAGACUACAAGUCAAUCAGGUGGUGAUCCAUGAAGACUUCAUUCAGUCUUGUUUUGAUCGUCUGAAGGCUUCCUAUGACACGUUGUGUGUUUUGGAUGGUGACAAAGACAGUGUUAAUUGUGCAAGACAGGAAGCUGUUCGAAUGGUUCGAGUAUUAACUGUUUUAAGGGAAUAUAUAAAUGAAUGUGACAGUGAUUAUCAUGAGGAAAGAACAAUUCUCCCUAUGUCAAGAGCAUUCCGUGGUAAACACCUCUCUUUUGUAGUUCGAUUUCCAAACCAGGGCAGACAGGUUGAUGACUUGGAGGUAUGGUCUCAUACAAAUGAUACAAUUGGUUCAGUACGACGAUGUAUUCUCAAUCGUAUUAAAGCCAACGUAGCCCACACAAAAAUUGAGCUCUUUGUGGGCGGUGAGCUGAUAGAUCCUGCAGAUGAUAGAAAGUUGAUUGGACAAUUAAACUUAAAAGAUAAAUCGCUUAUUACAGCCAAACUUACACAAAUAAGUUCCAAUAUGCCUUCAAGCCCUGAUAGCUCUUCUGAUUCCUCCACUGGAUCUCCUGGAAACCAUGGUAAUCAUUACAGUGAUGGUCCCAAUCCAGAAGUGGAAAGCUGUUUGCCUGGAGUGAUAAUGUCACUGCAUCCCAGAUACAUCUCUUUUCUUUGGCAAGUUGCAGACUUAGGUAGCAGCCUAAAUAUGCCACCGCUUAGAGAUGGAGCAAGAGUACUUAUGAAACUUAUGCCGCCAGAUAGCACAACAAUAGAAAAAUUAAGAGCUAUUUGUUUAGACCAUGCCAAACUUGGAGAAAGCAGCCUUAGUCCAUCUCUUGACUCACUUUUCUUUGGUCCUUCAGCCUCACAAGUGCUAUAUCUAACAGAGGUUGGUUUUUUGUUGUUGUUGUGUUGUGUUGUUUUAAUUUAUUCUGUGUUCUUUAAAUUUGACCUUUCGUAUGGUAAGGUGAAUGAUUUGGGUAAAAUUGUAAUGAAAUAGUUUUGAAAUGAAAUAUUAAUUUGAAAUAAAUAAUAGUGAGAUGGUCAAGAAUUUCUUGGCAGUGACAAUAGUACAAAUAGAAGUUUGUUUGUUUGUUUUUAAUCUUUUAAUACAGCCCUCUCCCCCUCUUCUCUAUUUUUCCAGGUAGUCUAUGCCUUGUUAAUGCCUGCUGGUGCACCUCUGGCUGAUGAUUCCUCUGAUUUUCAGUUUCACUUCUUGAAAAGUGGUGGCCUACCCCUUGUACUGAGUAUGCUAACCAGAAAUAACUUCCUACCA